CCUACGGGUGGCUGCAGUCGAGGAUCUUCGGCAAUGGGGGCAACCCUGACCGAGCGACGCCGCGUGGGCGACGAAGGCCUUCGGGUUGUAAAGCCCUGUCGAGGGGGAGAAAGGCGAGAGCUUGAUCUAUCCCUGGAGGAAGCACGGGCUAAGUUCGUGCCAGCAGCCGCGGUAAGACGAACCGUGCGAACGUUGUUCGGAAUCACUGGGCUUAAAGGGCGCGUAGGCGGCCCGCCGCGUCCGGGGUGAAAUCCCACGGCUCAACCGUGGAACGG
rnacentral:rRNA from 1 species